AGGAAAAGGCAGAGCACAGCCCUGAUAAGCUUUCCUGUCAUUUGCUUUUCUUUUCAGUUUGUGGACACCCCGCAAUUCAGUCUUUUUACUUUCUCCAUGUUUAACCAACCUUAAAAAUACCAGGCAUCUUAAGACGACUUGUGCACAUACCAACUUAUACAAUGGGAAGUUUGCAGUUUCCAACAUUUCUCCUGGUGCUCUUGUACACAGCUGUGGUGCCUGGAGAGGUGAUACACAUGGGCAUGUUUCCUGAAGUUCCAGAUUACUCAUUCUACAAUUGUCGGAAAGAGAUGCUGCAAAUGGUCACAAAACCUGGAGGUUUGCUGCGUACAGAGCUUAAUAACAAUACAGAUUUUAAGACUUUGUGGAAAGAUAAAGCAACAUGUAAGAUAGCCAUUCCAGAGGCUACAGCGGAGCACAUGACUGCACUAAAGAGCUAUGCUGAAGCUGAUUCUAAAAUUCGUAAAAUUUUUUUAAAAAAGCUGGUUCAAACUAAAAGCAGGGGCAGUUCAACUUACCGAGAUGAUUUUCCUUUCAAAUCUUUUUUCUUCCUGCUGACAGAUGCCAUGCAACUCCAAAACGAUUGUUUUACAGUGUACUUUGGCAAACAGGAGGAAUAUAGCACCAAAAUUGGGGACAAAGUACGUUUUGAGAAAUUUUCUACAGCAAAACUGGAAUUUACUGAUGCAGUUGAAGAUGCAAUGUUAGGUGAUGACAUUGGGACUGUUUUCAAUAUCAGUUCCUGUUCUGUGAUCAACCUUGAAGAAAUGUGUAGCUCAGAUGACAUAGAGCUGCUAAUAUCACCCACUGAAGUUUUCACAGUUACGAAUAUCAGGACUAUUAGCACAAGUAAUGAUUAUUAUAAAGAGAUCACCUUAAUGCAUUCACACUUUCACAACUCCUCCAACUGCAGUGGUCUUGUCAGCGUAUCUGAAGAAUCUAAAGGAUCAUCUUCAAGUUUCCCGAGUUUCAGUUUACUGAGUCUGAUGGCUUCUUUACUCAUGACGUGCUUUAAUGUGCUGACUCUGUAAAAUACUCUGUAUUUUCUCAAAAAUGCACAAACUUAUGUGGAAAAGUAAAAGAGGCAUUCAUUUUCUUAAUGACUUAUAAGGAAGAAUUUAUCAUAAUUAUAGAUUACAUUGUUUCAAUGCAUUUUCUGUUUAAUCCUUACGACUACUUAAUGUAAAAAAACUAAAAACUUAGGCCCAUCUAAAUGUAUAUAAUAGCCUAUAUAAUUGUUUUAGUAAACCUUUUAUGUGCUUUAUUGUUUUUGACAUUUCUUUGAAAGUCUUUAGUCCAUAAAUACAUUUUACAUGCAUAAAAAGUAGAGUUGCUAAAAAAAAAAAAAAAAAAAAAAAAAAUGCUUUCAAGGGUCAUAUACUGUACUUCAUAUAUAGCCACCAUUGAAAUGGACCUCACAUGACUUGCAGUGAACUUUGUCAUUUGUGCCAUGUUGAAAAUGUAUUCAUGGGAUACAAUUCCACUUUAAUUAUGAGGCAAAAAUUUAAAUAAAAUGUUUCUUGUCUAGGUA